rnacentral:rRNA from 1 species
GUUGAACGCUGGCGGCGUGCCUUAUACAUGCAAGUCGAGCGAACAGACGAGGGCUUUGCCCUGCUGACGUUAGCCGCGGACGGGUGAGUAACAUGUGGAUAACCUACCUAUAAGAGUGUGAUCACUCCGGGAAAGGGGAGCUACUACAGGAUAAUAUCUUGAAACACAUGGUUCAAUAGUGACAGCGCGCUUUGCUGUUACUUAUAGAUGGAUCAGCGCCGCAGUAGCUAGUUGGUCAGGUAACGGCUUACCAAGGCGACGAUGCGUAGCCGGUCUGAGAGGAUGAUCGGCCACACUGGAACUGAGACACGGUCCAGACUCCUACGGGAGGCAGCAGUGGGGAAUCUUCGACAAUGGGCGAAAGCCUGACGCAGCAACGCCGCGUGAGUGAUGAAGGUCUUCGGAUCGUAAAGCUCUGUUGUCAGGGAAGAACAAAUUUGUAAGAAACCAGUCGCGGCAUGACGGUACCGGAUCAGAAAGCCCCGGCUAACUACGUG